AGCGAACGCUGGCGGCAGGCCUAACACAUGCAAGUCGAACGAAGUCUUCGGACUUAGUGGCGGACGGGUGAGUAACACGUGGGAACGUGCCUUUAGGUUCGGAAUAACUCAGGGAAACUUGUGCUAAUACCGAAUGUGCCCUUCGGGGGAAAGAUUUAUCGCCUUUAGAGCGGCCCGCGUCUGAUUAGCUAGUUGGUGAGGUAAAGGCUCACCAAGGCGACGAUCAGUAGCUGGUCUGAGAGGAUGAUCAGCCACAUUGGGACUGAGACACGGCCCAAACUCCGACGGGAGGCAGCAGUGGGGAAUCUUGCGCAAUGGGCGAAAGCCUGACGCAGCCAUGCCGCGUGAAUGAUGAAGGUCUUAGGAUUGUAAAAUCCUUUCACCGGGGACGAUAAUGACGGUACCCGGAGAAGAAGCCCCGGCUAACUUCGUGCCAGCCGCCGCUGUAA
rnacentral:rRNA from 1 species